rnacentral:rRNA from 1 species
AGAGUUUGAUCCUGGCUCAGAAUGAACGCUGUCUGCAUGGAUUAGGCAUGCAGGUCGAACGGGAUCUUUUUUAACAAUCCUUCGGGUGCGUUAAUUAAGUGAGAGUGGCGAAAGGGUGAGUAACGCGUGAGCAACCUGCCUCUAUGUCGGGGACAACAGUUGGAAACGACUGCUAAUACCGGAUGUGGCUGUAAUAUCGCAUGUUUUUAUAGCUAAAGAUUUAUUGCAUAGAGAUGGGCUCGCGUACCAUUAGCUAGUUGGUGAGGUAACGGCUUACCAAGGCGACGAUGGUUAGGUGGUCUGAGAGGACGAUCACCCACACUGGGACUGAGACACUGCCCAGACUCCUACGGGAGGCUGCAGUCGAGAAUCUUCCGCAAUGCGCGAAAGCGUGACGGAGCAAUGCAGAGUGUGUGAUGAAGGUCUUCGGAUUGUAAAGCACUGUCAACGGGGACGAAUAAAAUGACGGUACCUGUAGAGGAAGCACCGGCUAAAUACGUGCCAGCAGCCGCGGUAAUACGUAUGGUGCAAGCGUUAUUCGGAUUUAUUGGGCGUAAAGGGUCCGUAGGUGGUUUAUUAAGUCAGAUGUGAAAUCCUGAGGCUCAACCUCAGAACUGCAUUUGAAACUGAUGAACUAGAGUAUUGGAGAGGUAAGUGGAAUUCCAGGUGUAGCGGUGGAAUGCGUAGAUAUCUGGAGGAACACCAAAAGCGAAGGCAGCUUACUGGACAAUUACUGACACUGAGGGACGAAGGCGUGGGUAGCGAAAAGGAUUAGAUACCCUUGUAGUCCACGCAGUAAACGUUGUAUACUAGUUGUGGGGGGAAUUAGCCCCCUCCGUGACUGAGCUAACGCAUUAAGUAUACCGCCUGGGGACUACGGCCGCAAGGCUAAAACUCAAAGGAAUUGACGGGGACCCGCACAAGCGGUGGAGCAUGUGGCUUAAUUCGAGGCAACGCGAAGAACCUUACCUGGUCUUGACAUAUUUACGAUCGCUGUAGAAAUACAGUUUUUCCUUCGGGACGUUUAUACAGGUGCUGCAUGGCUGUCGUCAGCUCGUGCUGUGAAGUGUUCGGUUAAGUCCGGCAACGAGCGCAACCCACGUCAUUAUUUGCCAUCAGGUUAUGCUGGGAACUAUAAUGAGACUGCCCGUGUUAAACGGGAGGAAGGCGUGGACGACGUCAAGUCAGUAUGGCCCUUAUGACCAGGGCUGCACACGUGCUACAAUGGGCGAUACAGAGGGAUACAAUGCCGCGAGGUGGAGCAAAUCCGUAAAGUCGUCCUUAGUUCGGAUUGUAGUCUGCAACUCGACUACAUGAAGGUGGAAUCGCUAGUAAAGGCGUAUCAGCAUUGACGCCUUGAAUACGUUCCCGGGUCUUGUACACACCGCCCGUCACAUCAUGGAAGCGGAUUGCACCCGAAGCCGGUGGUCUAACCUUUUAUUAGGAGGAAGCCGUCGAAGGUGUGGUUGGUGACUGGGAUGAAGUCGUAACAAGGUA